AGAGAUCCCAGAUUACAGGAAUGCAGUAAUCGUGGCCAAGUCUCCAGCCUCGGCGAAGAGGGUCUCCCUCUGUCGCCCAGUGUGGAGUGCAGUGGUGCGAUCUCGGCUCACUACAACCUCCACCUCCUGGAUUCAAGCGAUUCUCUUGCCUCAGCCUCCUAAGUAGCUGGGAUUACAGACGUGCGCCACCAUGCCCAGCUAAUUUUUGUAUUUUUGGUAGACAUGGGGUUUCACCAUGCUGGUAAGGCUCUUCUCGAACUCCUGACCUCAAGUGAUCUGCCCGCCUCGGCCUCCCAAACAAAGUGUUGGGAUAACAGGCGUGAGCCACUGUUGGGAUAACAGGCGUGAGCCACUGCGUUUAGUGGUUAGUGCCUUUAGAAUCCUGAAGUUAUUGAAUAGGUCUAAGUGCAGAGCUAUUGUUUUGGAGUUGUUUGACAAUGAGCAGUUGUUUUGACUAAAAGGGAUCAUCAGAGAAAGUGUUGCUUUUGUAAGGAACAGAACUUGCUUGAAUGAGUUGUUUGAAAUUGUUUUCUCUGAAUAACUGAGUGAAUAGGAAACAAAAGGAUAGCUGAGGCCCUGUGUCUUGUUCUUUCUCACCCAUGAUGUAAAUUAACUCUCAUUAUUGUACAAUCAGGAUCAAGUUGCUUUAGAAUUCCUCUCUGUCAGUGCAUGAAACAAAAUGACACAGAGAAACCAUCCUGAUUGAUUUUGGAAUUAGAUGGGAAUGCAAAGUAUCUGAUUAAGUUAUAUGGAAUAUCCAGAAGCUCCCAUUGCUGUGCAGGUAAUAAUUUUAUUUAUUUAUUAUUUUACUUAUUUAUUUUUUUGAGACA
rnacentral:sRNA from 1 species